AGAGGCAGCCUUUAGAAGUCCGAUGCAGUCCAUCACCAGCAGUUCAGUGUCCUAGAACGUAGUCACAGCCGUAGCCAUGGCUGGAAUGACCCAGGUCUUGGUCCACGAGCUGGUAGGAGAGGCGCUGGACAUGUGUGAGAUGUGGGGAGACAUAUCCCUGCUGCAACCCAAGCAUUGCAGCGAGGCCUUACACAGGGGACAGCCCAGGGCCCAUUCCCCCAACAUCGAGAAAAAAAAAAAAAAACCCAUCUUC
rnacentral:lncRNA from 1 species